UACGGGGGGGGCAAGCGUUGUUCGGAAUUACUGGGCGUAAAGGGCGCGUAGGUGGCCUUGUAAGUUGAACGUGAAAUCCCUGGGCUCAACCCAGGAACUGCGUCCAAGACUGGGAGGCUUGAAUCCGGGAGAGGGAUGCGGAAUUCCAGGUGUAGCGGUGAAAUGCGUAGAUAUCUGGAGGAACACCGGUGGCGAAGGCGGCAUCCUGGACCGGGAUUGACACUGAGGCGCGAAAGCCAGGGGAGCAAACGGG
rnacentral:rRNA from 1 species